UGGCGCGCGCCAGGCCCGCGGCGCACUCGCAGCUCUCUCGGCGCACGGCGGCGAAAGGGUCAAGCAGCGUGCAGCGCAGCACGCGCACCGCGUCGUCCAGGUGGGGCGCGAGCGCAGCGCCGCUCAGGCGUAUGGCCCGGUGGAGCAGCUGCACUAGCGCCAGGCGCAGCUCCUCGCAGACCUCGGGCGGUGGGCGGCGCGCGGGCUCGGGGCCGGCCAGGCGCGCGGCGAGAGCGGGCAGCAGGCGCGGGAGGGCGUCACGGGGCCGGGCGGCUCGCCGCAGGCCCAAGUCCAGCAGGUGCACGGCCAGCGCGCGGCAGCCCUCGGCCGGGUCGGCCAGGCAGCGCAGCAGGCGCGGCAGCAGCAAGCGCGCCCACGGGCCCUGAAAGGCGGCGGCUGCGGCGGCGGGGUCGCCGUCGGGCGCCUCGGGCCGCGCCGCCUCCAGGGUGCGCUGCAGCGCCUCCAGCGCGCGCCGCCGGCCCAGCUUGCUGUCGGCCUCCAGACCGGGCAGCAUGCGGCUCAGUACGCGGCUUAGCUCCGCCGCCUCGGCCGUCUCGGCGGCUUCCGCCGGGUCCGGGGACGCCGCGGCCUCGGUCGCCACCAGCGCCGCCAUCUUCCCUGCGUUGCUAGUCACCAGGGGAGACCGGCGCUUUUACGACGGUCGCGGCGCGGAUUACGGCGCGUUUUCCGGUCGGCUCCGAGAGUAACUUUAUUGGCAGCUCGGAACACUGACAGGACACGGCCGGGGGGCGGGGCCGGGGCGGGGAGUCGGAGGGCUGAGGGGACGCGGGCCAGGCCGGGGGUCCUGGGCAGGUCUGGAGCCCGAUAUGAUGGCCGCUGCGGACUUGUGUACAGGGAGGCGUGGUGGUCGUGCCCUUUCGUGUCCUUAGGUGGCUACUGUGACCCUCACCCCUCCUGCAUGGCCGGGUCGGACCAGUUCCGUCGGAUACGGUGACGUGGAGAGGGCACGUGGUCUCUCCGGCUCGGGUCUUCGUCUAGUGGGUGACACGUUAAUCAGCGUGCAGUUACCGUGGUCCUGAGGGAUGAAGGCCAAGGAACUUGGCGUAGACUGGAAGGCUUCCUGGAGGAGGUGACAGCCCCAGCGUAAUAUAGUGGAAAGGGGAAACUGGAGACAGACAGGCACACGGGGAGAACGAUCAUGAACAUGGAUGGCCAUCUGCAAGCUUAGGGGAGCGGCCUGGAGCAGACUCACUCCCUCAGCGGCUCUGGGGGAAGCAGCCUCUGACACCGUGAUCCUGGACUUCUGGAUUCCAGAGCAGUGGGGAGAUAAAUUUGUGUUGUUUAAGCUGCCAGGUUUAUUUAUGGUACUUGUUUGGGCAGCCGCAGGAACAAAUACGGGGAGGGGGCCUGACACUGUUCUGGGAAAUGAAGAAAAGUGCCCUGUGGCUAGAGCCCAGGGGCCCAGGGGGAGCAGGGUCCUCUGGGUGGCUCCACUGGGUCCCAGUGGGGGAUGCAAGGGAGGAUUUAAGGUGGAAGAGUUUCGCGUAAGGUUUGUGUUUUUAGAAAACUGCUUUGGCUGUUGCAGAACAGGUUAGCAGGGAGCCAGGCAGUCGCCACAUGAGGCCGUUGCGAAGGCCGUGCUCUGGCUGAGAUGAGUUCCUGGAAUAGGCGCUAGAGGGGGCUGCAACCCAGACCUGCCGACAGGCCACUCACUGAGUACACGAUCACUGCCUCGGCAUCUGUUCUGUGUGGCCCGCUGCCUGCGGGGCCUUGAACUGACAGGAGCCCUCCCUCGAGUGCGUGACCUAGAUGACAGCCCGCAGAGUCACCAGUAAACCGAAGUUCCUGAUGUGACCCCCCCGCCCAACACCCUUGUGAUAACCUCUCUCCCUGUGGGCCCCAUAUAUUAAACCCCUGUGAAGCUCACCAAAACCCUGCUCCCUCUGGUUUGAACUGACCUAUCCAGCCUUAGCCCAGGAACCCCAAAGGACAGCCCUGUGGACCUAAUACAGGUGUGCGCCCCGGGUCCUGACUCCUGGGCACUCUGCCUGUACCUCCUCCAGGACCUGUGAGUCGUAAGCUUCUCUGUUGUGCUAUUUCUUGAGAUCUUUGUUGAACCACCAGGCAGCCUGGCCACAUGCCUUCUGACACUGCAGGCAGCACCCACAGGGAUGGAGUGACAGCCGGGGUAGCACCGGGACAAUGGAGCAGACAGGAAGGGCACUGCAAGGGCUGGGGAAAUAAAACUAUCAUUGGAACCACAGGCCAUAAAAGUAGGCUGGAAUUUAUACACUAAACCUAAAUGGGAUGACUUUCUGCUGAAAUAGAAGAUUAAUUUUUUGUUUGAUGUGGACCAU